UCUCAGCAUUUUCUCAUAAGAGAGACACUCCAGUCCCCUGAUUAUCUUGGUAGCUUUCCGCUGGACUCUCUCCAGUAGUUCUCUGCCUUUCUUGAACUGGGGAGCUCAGAACUGGAUGCAGUACUCCAGAUGUGGCCUUACUACGGCAGAGUAGAGGGGGAAGAUAACCCCCCUUGACCUUCUGGCCAUGCUCCUUUUAAUGCACCCCAGGAUACCGUUGGCCUUCUUGACCACAAGGGCACAUUCCUGGCUCAUGAUCAGUUUGUUGUCCACCAGCACUCCCUUCUCAGCAAAGCCGCUUUGCAAUAGGUCAGUCCUCAACCUGUACCGGUACAUGGGGUUGUUCCUCCCCAGGUGCAGGACCUUGCCCUUGUUUUUGUUGAAUUUCAUCAGGUUCCCCUCAGCCCAGCUCUCCAGCCUGUCCAGGUCUCACUGGAUGGCAGCACAGCCUUCUGGCGUAUCAGCCACUCCUCCCAGCUUGGUAUUGUCAGCAAACUCGCUGAGGUUACACUCUAUCCCUUCGUCCAGGUUAUUGAUGAGUGUGUUGAACACGACUGGACCCAGCACGGACCCCUGGGGAACACUGAUAGUUACAGUCCAACCAGACUGCCAUUGAUCACGACCCUCUGAGUUCUGUUGUUGAGCCAGUUCUCUGUCCACCUCACUGUCCUCUCAUCUGACCCAUGCUUCCUAAGCUUACCUAUGAGGAUGUUCUGGGAGACAGCAUCAAAAGCCUUGCUGAAGUCAAGGUAUACAACAUCCACUGCUCUUGUUUCAUCUACACAGGCAGCCAUGCCAUCACAGAAUGCUAUCAGGUUGGUCAAGCAUGAUUUCCCCAUGGUGAAUCCAUGUUGACUGUUUCUGAUAAGCUCCUUGUUCUCUACAUGCCUGGAGAUGACCUCCAGGAUGAAACUGCCCCAUCACCUUUCCAGGGAUGGAGCCUUUGGGCACCUCUCCUGUCCUCCGUGACCUUUCAAAGAUGAUGGAGAGUGGCUCAGCAAGAACAUCUGCCAGCUUCCUCAGCACUCAUGGGUGCAUCCCAUCGGGGCCCACGGAUUGUAAGGAUCCAGUUUGCAUUGGUGAUCUCUGACCCAAUCCUUCUCAACUGAUGCUGUCUCGAACCAUCCCCCUCUCACAAAUAGUUCCAUAUGGAGUCAGAAAUGCUGGCAGAAGUGCCCAGAGGCAAGUUGAUAAGCAGCUCAGCUGCACAGCUACUGAUCCAGCAGACUUGAUGCUGCAUCCUUAUGCUUUCAUUUUCUCUGCGCCACAAACCAGCACCCAGGUAAUAGCAAAGUACCAGAAGUAGAGAAAGAAAUAAAGUAAUAAAAGAAAGAGCAUGGGAAGCUGGAAAGGUCCCUGACUGCUACAGGCACUACAGUGAAGAGAAUUAACCCCUUCUCAGCCAAAACCAGCACAACGUAAUACAUGUAUAUGAUAGAGAGUGAAGUUUGAAAUUUUGUCUUGCUCCUGAAGAAGAGUGAAAUAGGUAAAGGAAAAAAGGCAAAAUAAAAUUUUGCUGGUAUCUGCUUAUCCCAUGCCUUGUAUAGUUUCCCCCUCAACAGAGUUUUUCUAGUGUUUUGAUUUGCAAGCCUGUUAAUCUCUAGAAACAUAUUUCACCAUUGUAGUUGAUACAUAAAUGUCUUUAACUUGUAUAAAAGUUUUCUUCAACUUUUAUCUGAGUCUCUCUGCCCUUUUUCCCUUCUUUUUGUGAGAUGAGUCUGUCUAUCUGAAUAUACAGAUAUUUUGCAAAUGUUUUCCUCGCUAAAUGUCAACAUACUUGGAAUCCUUUUAACACAGAUCGGCUCAUUAAGGCAUAGGAUCAGAAUAUGAAAAUACUGUGCAAUGGGAAUAGAAGAGUUAUUCCUCUGUUUAGUUAGGCAUUCUUUCUCACUGAGCGCAUAUUAGGUAAGGAGUUUAUUUUCAAAAGAAUACUUUGUGUGCCUGUUCUUUUUUGACUUUAUAACACUCCUCACCUUCCAAAAAUAAAACUUUUGAAUUAAUAUCUAGUCUGGAAGACUGGGUGACUGUGUGCUCUAAUGGUACAAGAAUGAAGAGCUAGUGUUCUUGAGUGCAGGAAUUCUUUUUGUCCUGGUUUCCUAGGGAAACAAGGGUAUGAUCACGUACAAUGUGCAUGCUGAUUUCUCUUCUGAUUUCUGUUACUGCCAGAUUUCAACCAAACUUACAGAGAGGUGGAGAUGUUGAAGAUGAUAAAUUCCUUAAAAUUAGGUAGCUGUGUAGAAGGUAAGUACCCCAGAACAGCAUGGCUUUUAAAGUGAAAAUUAGCAGCUCAAGCUAGCAGUAAUAGAAAAACACCUUGCAGUUACCCCUUAUGAAUGAUUCUGCUUUGGGAAAGGUUUUGUUUGGAACUGGCACAUCUUAGGCCAAAGAAAUUCAGUUACAGCGUGACCAAAUGAUAAAGUGACAAAUGAAAUUCAGUAUACAAAGAAAGGGGUAUAUAUGCAAUUUAAAACAGUCUUCUCAUAGGCAGUGAUAGCCUCUCAGCCACAUGCAGUCACUUGGAAAAGAGUUCUUAGAACUGUAAUAGGUAGUUAUGUGAAGAUAUAAAUUCCGUGAUCAGCUAGGGUCAAAAAAGUAAUACAAAGAAUUUUUAGAAAAGAGAUA